GGCCAGUUGGAGAAAAGGUUAACUCAGUGCCCUCUCAAGGCACCAUUCACGGGUUCGAACCCCGUACUGGCUACCA
rnacentral:tRNA from 1 species